rfam:Xenopus tropicalis strain Nigerian Chr03_contig_788, whole genome shotgun sequence.
GGGCUGGCAUUGUAGCUCAGCGGUUCCUUCACGGGCUCUCUGAUUUAUCAGACUAAUCCUCUCGGGGGUUCAAAACCUGCGGGCGCUAUCCAGCCUUUUU